rnacentral:rRNA from 1 species
GAUGAACGCUGGCGGCGUGCUUAACACAUGCAAGUCGAACGGAAAGGCACAAACUUGCUUGGGUACUGGAGGGGCGAAGGGGUGAGGAACACGAGGGUAACCUGACCUGCACUUCGGGAUAGGACAGGGAAACUGGAUUUAAGAUAGGAUAGGACAACACCUUGGAGGGUGUGGAGGAAAGUUUGUUCGGUGUGGGGUGAGCUUGCGGCCUAGCAGCUUUUGGGUGGUGUAAUGGCCUACCACGGCGACGACGGGUAGCCGGCCCGUGAGAGUGUACGGCGACAUUGAGACUGAGAGGCGGCACAGACUCCUACGAGUGGCAGCAGUGGGGAAUAUUGCACAAUGGGCGCAAGGCUGAUGAAGCGGCGCUGCGUGGGGGAAAACCGCCUUCUUGUGGAAAACACCUUUCAGUAUGGACGACGCCUUUUGUGACGGUACCUGGAGAAUAAGCACCGGCUAACUACGUG